UAAGUUUUCAUGUUAAAAAUUUCUGUUUGUUAAAUGAAUCAAAAAUAGAUUCAUUCUCUAUUUAUUGUGUCAAUGUUUGAGGAACACCAAGGACAUAGUCUGUUUUCCCAGUAGAAAUUAAAUAACUGUAUUUAGUCAUGUAUACUUACCUGAGAUUUGUCAUUUUAAUUUUUAUUUUUUAAGGAGCUGAUGCUACACACAUGGAUGGUGAUCAGAUUGUUGUGGAAGUACAAGAAGCAGUUUUUGUUUCUAAUAUUGUGGAUUCAGACAUAACUGUGCAUAACUUUGUUCCUGAUGACCCAGACUCAGUUGUAAUCCAAGAUGUUAUUGAAGAUGUUGUCAUAGAGGAGGAUGUUCAGUGCUCAGAUAUCUUAGAAGAGGCAGAUGUAUCUGAAAAUGUCAUCAUUCCUGAGCAAGUGGUGGACUCAGAUGUAACUGAAGAAGUUUCUUUACCACACUGCACAGUCCCAGAUGAUGUUUUAGCUUCUGACAUUACUUCAGCCUCAAUGUCUAUGCCAGAACAUGUUUUAACGAGUGAAUCCAUGCAUGUGUGUGACAUUGGACAUGUUGAACAUGUGGUCCAUGAUAGUGUAGUGGAAGCAGAAAUCAUUACUGAUCCUCUGACCAGUGACAUAGUUUCAGAAGAAGUGUUGGUAGCAGACUGUGCCCCUGAAGCAAUCAUAGAUGCCAGCGGGAUCUCAGUGGACCAGCAAGAUAAUGACAAAGCCAACUGUGAGGACUACCUAAUGAUUUCGUUGGAUGAUGCUGGCAAAAUAGAACAUGAUGGUUCCACUGGAGUGACCAUCGAUGGAGAAUCAGAAAUGGAUCCUUGUAAAGUGGAUGGCACUUGUCCUGAAGUCAUCAAGGUAUACAUUUUUAAAGCUGACCCUGGAGAAGAUGACUUAGGUAAGAGGAAGCCGUCAGCAUUUUAUACGUCAUCAUCCAAAUGUUUCAACCAAAUGGUGUCAAAAAAAUAAACAGGUUACUUUUUUUCAUUGAUAUUUAGCAUUUAGUUUAGAUUAUUUAGGUUGGAAAAUUUGAACUCUUUUCCAAAGACAACUUUUAAGACAUAUUUUUGAUUUAGUAAUAUGAAAAUAUAUGAAAACAUGUAAGCAAAAUAUGUGAAAAUGAACUCUCUAAUAAUUUUUGGAGCUUUCAUCUUUUCUGAUAGGUGGGACUGUAGACAUUGUGGAGAGUGAGCCUGAAAAUGAUCAUGGAGUUGAACUACUUGAUCAGAACAGCAGUAUUCGUGUUCCCAGGGAAAAGAUGGUUUAUAUGACUGUCAGUGACUCUCAACAAGAAGAUGAAGAUUUAAGUAUGUGGUUUUUUUUUUAAAAAAUUUUACUUUAAGUUCUGGGAUACAUGUGCUGAAUGUGCAGGUUUGUUACAUAGGUAUGCAUGUGCCAUGGUGGUUUGCUGCACCUAUCAACCCAUCUUCUAGGUUUUUAAGCCCACCAUCCAUUAGGUAUUUGUCUUAAUGCUCUCCCUUCCCUUGCACUCCACCCCACAACAGGCCCCAGUGUGUGAUGUUCCCCUCCUUGUGUCCAUGUGUCCUCAUUGUUUAACUCCCACUUAUGAGUGAGAACAUGUGGUGUUUGGUUUUCUAUUCUUGUGUUAAUUUGCUGAGGAUGGUGGUUUCCAGCUCUGUGGCUUUUUUUGUGGAAGAGGGUUUUAUCUUUCUAUAAAUAGUGUUUUUUGUUUUUGUUUUUUUGAGACAGAGUCUUAUUCUGUCGCCAGGCUGGAGUGCAGUGGCGCAAUCUCAGCUCACUGCAACUUCCACCUCCCAAGUUCCUGCCUCAGCCUCUCAAGUAGCUGAGACUACAGGCACGCACCACCACACCCAGCUAAUUUUUGUAUUUUUAGUAGAGAUGAGGGUUUCACCAUGUUGGCCAGGAUGGUCUCGAUCUCUUGACCUCAUGAUCCGCCCACCUUGGUCUCCCAAAGUGCUGGGAUUACAGGCAUGAGCCACUGUGCCCUGCCCAAGCUGGUUUUUUUUUUUUUUUUUUUUUUAAUGUAACCAAUAUUUGAAAAAAAAAGCAACACUGCUUUAGAGAUUACUAUAUUGCCAUAUUCCAAGGAAAUAUAUCAGUGACUAUGUAUGUUUUCAUUGUUGCUUUAUAAGCU
rnacentral:lncRNA from 1 species